GCCCCUAUCAUUCCUCGUUUCUUAACUGUUUUUUCUGUUGCUUCUUCUUAGGGCACAAUAUAGUCUAUGCAGAAAUUUAGUGUGUGCUUGUGAGGCAUCAGGAAUCCCAAGUACUCCCAUGUUGGAUUUUCCAUCACCUUUUGGAGUUGGGACACCAGCGGCAUAGGGGAUCAUCAUGCACAUCAUUACAUACUUGCGGUGUUCAAGAUAAAGAAGAGGCGACGGUAAUGAAACAAAGUCUGGUCUGGUGUAUCCAAAUAAAUGGGUUAGGAAUCAAUGGCGUGGCGUGGGUCUGCCCUAGAAGGUAGGAAGAGAGGUGGAUCUAAGCAAUCUGUCUGGGCAACAGACAGGCUAAAUGCAUAGAACAAUGCAUAAUGACAGGACAACUAUUUUUGCUUCCUGAUUUUCCUUGUGCGUGCUUGAGCACUAGUAAUAUAUAUGGAGGAUGUAUGAGGUGCCAC
rnacentral:lncRNA from 1 species